rnacentral:rRNA from 1 species
CCCUUAGAUGUUCUGGGCUGCACGCGCGCUACACUGAAGCUAUCAACACGUUUUCCCUCCCUGAGAAGGGCGGGUAACCUUUUGAAUCAGCUUCGUGGUAGGGAUCGGGGCUUGCAAUGGUUCCCCGUGAACCAGGAAUUCCUAGUAGACGCGAGUCAUAAGCUCGCAUCGAUUAAGUCCCUGCCCUUUGUACACACCGCCCGUCGCUACUACCGAUUGAACGUUUUAGUGAGGCAUUUGGACCGACGCAUCUCAGUUUAACCGCUGGUUUGUGUUGGAAAGACUUCCAAACUUGAGCGUUUAGAGGAAGUAAAAGUCGUAACA